AUACUUACCUGGCAGGGGAGACACCUUGAUCAUGAAGGAGGUUUACCCAGGGUGGGUCUCAUCCAUUGCACUGCGGGUGUGCUGACCCCUGUGAUUUCCCCAAAUGCGGGAAACUCAGCUGCAUAAUUUGUGGGAAUUAUGCAGUCUGCUUUUAAACUUCUGUUUC